rnacentral:rRNA from 1 species
CACGUAGUUAGCCGGGGCUUCUUCUGCAGGUACCGUCUUGUCUCAUCCCUGCUGAAAGCGGUUUACGACCCGAGGGCCUUCGUCCCGCACGCGGCGUCGCUGCGUCAGGGUUCCCCCCAUUGCGCAAGAUUCCCCACUGCUGCCUCCCGUAGGAGUCUGGGCCGUGUCUCAGCCCCAAUCUGGCCGGUCGGUCUCUCAACCCGGCUACCCGUCGUCGGCACGGUGGGCCGUCACCCCGCCGUCUACCUGAUGGGCCGCGGAGCCAUCCCCUCCCGUCUGGGCUUUGCCCGCGGGGCCAUGCGGCCCCGCGGGGUCAUCCGGUAUUACCCACGGUUUCCCGAGGCUAUCCCGGAGGAGGGGCGGGUUCUCCACGUGUUACUCAGCCGUUCGCCACUCGCUUCCACCCGAGGGUGGGUGCCGUUCGACUUGCAUGUGUUAGGCGCGCCGCCAGCGUUCAUCCUGAGCCAGGAUCAAACUCUCUGGACAGCACCA